rnacentral:tRNA from 1 species
UUAGAAUAACUUAAAUACUGUUGAUAUUUUAUUGGAAUCCUGUCCAUUCUAAG